AUAGUCUAGGAAACCUUAAGAAUUUUUACAUUUUCUUCUUAGCCACCAUUCCUUUGCUCUUGGCUUCUUCAAUUGGGCCUCUCAGCAACCCGGUUUCACCCACACGCCCUUCAUCUUCCACUCACUCCUCAAGUCCCUCUCACACACCAACCACUUCACUGCCAUUCACUCACUCCUCAAACAGGCCAAGGCCCUGAACUUUCCCAUCCUCCCUUCCUUGUUGAGCUCCAUUAUAGCGUCCCACAUUGCUCGCAACUCUGCCCGCGAAGCCUUUUUGCUCUUCAGUGGUGUUGGCUCUCUCUGUAGUGAAAUUGGAGGGGCUACAUGUAACUUCCUCCUGGCUGCCCUUGCCUUGGACGGGUGCUUGAAGAGUGCCCACAGGGUGUUUGAUGAAAUGGCUGAGAGGGGGGUUGGUUUCUGCAUGCUGGGAUUUGGGGUCUUCGUUUGGCGGGUUUGUGGAGAGGAUGAUUUGGAGAAAGUGGUGAGUCUGUUGGAUGAGGUUGGGGAAUGUGGUUCCGGGAUUAAUGGUUCUGUUGUUGUGGUUUUGAUUGUUCGUGGGUAAGGUGUUGGAGGCUUUGUGGAUGUUGGAUGAACUUGGGCAGGGGAUGGAAGCCUGAUUUCAUGGCUUACUGGGUUGUUGCAGCCGCAUUCCGGUCAAUGGGAAAUGUGGCUGAUGAGGUGAAGGUUUUGAAGAUGAAGAGGAAGUUAGGGGUGGCUCCCAGGAGUAGUGAUUACAGGGACUUGAUACUUGGUUUGGUUUUGGAGAGGCGGAUUUGUGAAGCAAAAGAAGUUGGGGAGGUUAUAGUUGGUGGUAAUUUUCCUGUUGAGGAUGAUGUUCUCAAUGCAUUGAUCAGAUCAGUAUCAAGUGUUGAUCCCGGUGCAGUGAUUGUGUUUUUCGAUUUCUUGGUUGAGAAAGAGAGGUUCCCUACUAUUUUGACCAUCAGCAAUUUGAGUAGGAACCUAUGUAGGCAUGGCAAGGCAUGGCAAGUUUGAUGAAUUAUUGGAGGUGUUCCAUGUUUUGAAUUCUCACAACUACUUCAAAGACAUGGAUGAUUACAAUGUGAUGGUGUCAUUUUUGUGCAAGGCUGGGAUAGUGAGAGAAGGCUAUGCUGUUCUGCAGGAGAUGAAGAAGAAAGGGUUCUGCCCCAACGUCUCGUCUUAUAAUUACAUAAUGGAAGCGUGUUUUAAGGAGGAUCUACUGCGUCCUGCAAGGAAGCUUUGGGAUGGGAUGUUUUCAAGUGGCUGUUGCGGGAAUUUGAAAACAUAUAACAUUCUUAUACAAAAAUUUUCUGAAGUGGGACAAGCUGAAGAGACUCAGAUGCUCUUUUACCACAUGUUAGACAAGGGGGUGGAACCUCAUGUUACAAGUUACACUUUUCUUCUAGAAGGGCUCUGCCAAGAAGACAAGCUUUUAAGCAGCUUUUGAGCUCUAUAACAAGUCUGUCAAACAGGACAUCAUCCUUGCAAGAGACAUAUUGAGCUCGUUUAUAUCGUCACUCUGCAGGAAAGGACAUCUUAUGGCUGCAUCCAAAUUACUUUGGAGUCUCAAUCAUGAUAUAGGAUGUGCAGAAUCCCAUGUAAUUUUGUUGAAAAGUUUUGCAAAUGCACAAGAGAUUCCAAUUGCCAUAGAGCACUUGAAGUGGAUUCCAGAAAAAUCUCCUUUGGUACUACAAGAUAUAUUUACAGGACUUUUGGCUUCUCUUUCUUCUGCUACAUGCCCUGAGCUGAUAUUACAAUUUUUUCAAAGAAUACAAUACUUGGAAGGAUAUGUGCAACCGAUGAUUACCAUGUGAGAAGAACUUAGGACUUGUUACCGGUGGAUAAUUCUAGAGAGUUGUUUUCUUGGAGGUGCUUUGUUUCAGCUCAACAAGGCAACAGAUAAUGCUAAUCAAUGAUAUUCAUCUGACCUUCCAUGGAACUCAAACUGUUCUGUGGAAAUUGAAGAUUUCUGCAACUCUUUCCCAGUCAGUUUCUCCCAAAUUUAGACUACCUCUCUCUUGGAUAAUAUGUUUUCUGGCGGCCUUAUGUAAACUGUCUUGUUUGGAGUUCUGGGCAUUGCUUACCCUAAAGAAAAACUAAGCAUUGCUUAUUGAUGUCAUGUGCUCCUUGCUCAUGAUUUGAUCAAUGUCCCAAAAUUUCUAGAUCAUUUGAUUAAAUUUUAUUUUCAAGUCGCUAGAAGACAAUGCAAUUCUUAUCAUCAUUGUAACUUGAAAUUUGAGUCGAAGUAGACUGGGGUUUGUACUAUGAAGCAUGAUGUUCAAGGACUUGUUACUUGGGUGCUCAGUGAAGGAUUGUCAAAAACACAUGUUGAAUAGGAACAUAAUAACUUGUGUACAAGGGAUAUAUCAAAGUAAAAAAGCACAUAUUAUUUAGCUUUCUUUCAUGUGUAAAUUGAUAAAAUCACAUCUUUUGCAAAAUCAUUUUUUAAAAAGUUGUUUGAGCACAACAAUAUCAUUAACGGGAAGAUAUUCAUUUAACUUGACAGUAUUCUGUAUGUUUAUGCUGUGAUUGUGGGUUGCAUUAUGUCCCACAAAUGAUAUUGUUGUGCUUUUAUGUUAUUGAUCAAUGAUGCCUCACAUGAUUGGAACUUAACUAGUUUAAGUUUGAAAAUAGGAAAAUGAUCUUUAAUAAAAGUUGGUAAAAUUAUGAAUAUUUUUAUUUUAUAGUUGAAAAUCUGUUUCAUUUUAUAAAAAGGUAUGGAAAAAGAAAUGUACAUGCAUGUGCCUUCUUAGUGGGGGAAAAUAUAAAAAUCAAUGGCUUUCAGCAACCUUGUCCCCAGGUACCUGAUAGACAGUUUAUAUAUACAUUUCAGUACAAUUGUAGGAUGAUAUGAAAAUACAAGCAAAACAGAAAAUCUGUCAAUAACCAAAUAAAAUUUAAAUAAUACUUGAGGGUAGAGUCACUGUUCAUCAGUACCUAUUAAAAAAAAAGAAUGAGGGUAUUGGGAGAGGGGUCAUGUAAGAAUUAUCACAUGAAUAAUAACAAAAGGGUUCCAUUCGUGAUCGGAAGUAGAAAAUAAUAACAGCUUUGAAGAAUGAAUUAUAUGAAUAAUCAGAAUCAAUAUUAUAUUCCUCUAUAUAAAUUAGCCAGCUCCAAUCCAACAAACCCUCACUGAAAAUAAACUUUACCCCCAUCUCAAAUGCAUAUCAUAAACAGCAUGAACAUAGUCACUGAGGAGGUCAUGGAGUAUCUAAAGAGGAUGUUCACAUGGAUUAGUAAAUUCUCCUACAAAUAUACGGUGGAUGAACAGGUGCGUCUCCACGUGCAUUUUGGAGACAUCCGAUGCCACGUUUUGCUGUUAGAUGGGCCCCAGAUGCCACUAAUCACCAUAGACGCACAUGCUACAUACCACUUCCCGUUUGAGCGUACCCCUUAGUGUUAUAUUAACCAUAUCAUUUUCUAUUAUGCUUACUUUGGAUUUGAGUGACUGGAUAACCCACUGCGAUUCUUGCAACAAUUUUUCAGGCAUGGUGCUAACGAGUGGGCCACUAGAUCUACUUUCUGAGGAUACAUCCGUUGAGGUCUUAAAGGAUAUGGGAGAUUUUGUCGAUGAUGAGGAUCUUACACCAUUCAAGAUCACAUUCUACCGUGGGGUCUGUGAUGAAGAGAUAUCCGAGGAAGAUAUGGUUUCGUCCACAACAAGGAGUGCGAUUCUUGAGAAGAUGAGAGCGACUCUUAUGAGGAUAUGAUUCCGUCCUAGGUAGUAUUGGGUCUUUGGUAGUGACUACUCUAAGUGUAGGAUUAUUUUUUUCCUUUUUAAUGUAUAUUUGGGGUGAGAAGAUUUCUAUAUUCGAUGUCAAGAUAUUUGAUGUAUUAAUACCUUUGGUGGUAUUGUAUAUUAUUUUGUGGGGGCAAUGAAUACUCUAUCUUUUGGCAAAACAGUUAUAAUUAUUUCAGUACAUUUGUUUAUAUCUCAAGGGUCAUUAAGGCUCGGUA